CAGUAGCCACGGGAAUACGUAGGGUCCGAGCGUUGUCCGGAAUUAUUGGGCGUAAAGAGCUCGUAGGCGGUCUGUCGCGUCUGCCGUGAAAUCCUCAGGCUCAACCUGAGGCGUGCGGUGGGUACGGGCAGGCUAGAGUGCGGUAGGGGAGAAUGGAACUCCUGGUGUAGCGGUGGAAUGCGCAGAUAUCAGGAAGAACACCGAUGGCGAAGGCAGUUCUCUGGGCCGUAACUGACGCUGAGGAGCGAAAGCGUGGGGAGCGAACAGGAUUAGAUACCCCGGUAGUCCCUGUCUCUUAUAC
rnacentral:rRNA from 1 species